rnacentral:lncRNA from 1 species
GAUUAUUAGUAUGUGACCAUUCUUAAGGUUUUCAAAGUAACAACCAUGUUUCACUAGUGGAAUCAGUUCAUGAUACUUGUAUAAUUAUCUGAUUAAAUUGAGACUUGUAUCAUUUCACUUUAAUCUAAUCAUGCACAGCAUGGUCUGAAUUAACUCGAAUAAUUCAAGCCCUUUCCGUGUCCGAUUUUCUCCCACACGAGGGCUUGAACUCCUUGUGAUCAUUGGCCGCGUCGCCUGCUCUCUGUGAGAGAGAGCCAAUCAGCGGCGAUCAGGAUAAUGAGUCUGCGCAACUCUCUUGUAAUUGUCUUACCAAACACGUGUGUUCAAUUAACACAAAUCCGAUAAUAAUUAAUUAACAUCAGUUAACAUCAGUUUACAUCAUUUAACAUCAAUUAACAUCCGGAACUCCUCCUUCUUUAGCUGCCAAUUUAAAUCAAAAUUCCCAUAUUGCAAAGCGGUGUGAAAAUUCCGGUUGACGAUCUUGAUCGAGGAAGACGUUCAGGCGUUAAUGUAGCCUUCGUAGAUCAGCGGAAUAUAACGACUGAAUUAUUCGGGUUAGGUCUGAAUUAGCCAUGACUUGAGAUUUUCUUUUAGUUAUUUUUUCAAGGCAAGAAGACAGGGCAUAUUGCAAUAUUUUGAAAUUGAUAUCUUUUUAUUAAUUACAUUCUUUGGUAAUUUGUAAACUUCACAUUAGUGGAAAUAGAUGUAAAUUGUAAAUUAUCUUAGAACAAACCGUUUAUACUACAGGAUACUGUUAACCAUACAAAGGUUUCCUUUUAGCUAACAUGCAAUAAAAUAUCACUAACAAUACAGCUGGGAAAAUCCAAUAUUAAAUUAAAUGACCAACGAUGGCUGGAAAUUUUUACACUCUUGACAACCAGAGCAACCAAAAUUGUUACUAUUUGACAGCAGCCAUUCAAUGUCACAUUAGUGUAUCAAAAUUAGCUAAAUAAAAAUACCUUGAUCAAUUUCUGUCUUACCACAACCAGAUCUCCGCAAAAGCUUUUCUUUUAAUUCAAUAAUCUGGCAGGCUAUAGUACAUCUGGCAAAGAAAAGAAAAUGGGUAAAAGUAAUAAGAGAAAAACGGUUUUCUAUGAAGAAAACAAUUAUAAGAAUACACAAUAUCUAAUAUUUUAAUUUUUACAAAUGUACUUUAAGAUUAAUAUGUGAUUUGAAAUACAUAUGUAGAAAAGUGAGUUCCAUCUGAAGGAUAAUCUUUUUUGAAUGCAGAUUUACUUUUGAACUAAUGCAUAAAUAUAAAUACUGUUCAUAUUUUCCUAGUUAAAAAGCAAUUCUACAUAUGUGAAACAUUUGAUAAACUCUCUUAACCUUAAAAACAAACAUCAAAUUUCAAGCUGAAUUGGAUAAGUUGAAACAUUUCUCAUAUAUUGAGUUUCAGGUGGAAAAUUGUCAUUUAUAAUGCAUGUUAAAAUUAUAUGGCUGAGCACACAAAAAUAAAUUUGACAUCAUAAGAUAUUUGUAUUUUAAGUGCAAUAUUUCUACCUGAAACCAUCAAUUACAAGAAUUAUUUGAGAUAUUUUCUGUAAUAGAUAAACCCUAUUUUUCAACUUGAAACUAUGAUUCACUUUUAAUGGUAAUUAAAAUUUUAUAUUCUAUUCUUAAAUAUUGAACAGAAUAAGUAAAAUGUAUCACACAUAUUCAAUUAAAUAAAUAAGGUACAUUGUUGAAUGGAAACAGAAUUAGUACGUAUUUCAGCAACAUAACACUGUAUAUACAUGUAAAAGAUAUCCAUUCUGAAGCUUUAGUGAAUACCAUGUAUAUCACAAUUUAAUCUGUACAUUGUUACGUUAUAAAGUGUUUUCAAAUAAACUCAUUUCAG